CGCAAUUCUGCCUUCAGUCCUGCGUGGGUCGGCGAGCCGCGGUCGGCUGGAGCAAGGAAUGGCACACAAUCUCAAAGACAAGAAACUUCUAGAAAAUGCAAGACCAGUUGUGUUGGUGGAUCCCUGUGUUAGUAUUUACAGUGCUCUGGGCCACCCCCAUUCAUGGAUGACUUUCAUCCCAACGUCAAAGUAGUGCAUCUGCCAUCGAAUACUGUGUCAUUCAUCCAACCUAUGGACCAGGGAGUUAUAGUGACUUUCAGGAAAUAUUAUUUACAUAAUACUUUUCGUCAGGCGGUAAAGGCAAGUGACGAAUCAGAAACAACCUUGCGACAAUUUUGGAAGGACUAUAACAUCUACAAGGCCAUAAAAACCAUUGAUUUUGCUUGGCGUGAGGUUAUGGCCGUCACCAUGAAUGGGGUUUGGAAGAACCUUUGUUCAUGAUUUUCGUGUAUUUGAGAAGGUGGAUGAGGAGUCCAAAGAGCUCUUCAGCAACUUAGUGACCCUCAGAGAGAAGGUGGAGCUAGAUCUGCAAGAGGACGACUUCAUUGAACUCCUGGCUGUGCAACAUGGAGAGCAUACUAGUGAAGAUCUGAUGGAAUUGGAGGCCCAGAGAAAGGACGAAGAGAGACAAGAGGAGGAAGAAGUAACUGAAGAACUGAAGAGAUUCAUGACGCAGGAAA